rnacentral:misc_RNA from 1 species
GGGGACGUUGGAAUCUCUUGAGGUCCUAAAGUUUAAAGAAAAUGCAUUCACGGGUGAUUUCUGGGAGCCAAAGAGUGGAUUUAGCGCACUCCAAGUCUUGUGGAUUGAAAGGUCAGAAUUAGAAUCUUGGGAGGCUUCGGUUGUUAACUUCCCCGCACUUAGGCAACUGGUUCUUAUCUCUUGUGAUAAGCUUGAUGCUGUGCCACUUGAGCUAGCUGAUAUACCCAGCCUUGUAGAGAUGAGGCUGGAUAACACAAGCAAAGCGGUGAAAUCCGCAAAAAAUGUUCGGGAUAGCAAGACAUCUAAAGGCAUGAAACUCAAGCUAAGCAUAUACCCACCUGAAAAUUAAUCCAAGGUUUCACAGUGAUAUUGAAAGGGGACGACUUGGACAUCGAGCUUGCUGGAAGCCAGGGGUCAUCAGACAAAUAGCUAACUGGAGUAUUGUCAUUUUGAAAUAAGCCUAGGUCUGCUGCAACUCGAGUUCCCCUUUAUGUAGAUUGUUUUUUCUUUUUUCUCCGUUGUGAAACUGUUUGCAUCUUUCCUAUUCUAUUAUCUUUGUAGUUGCGUAAAACUGUUGUUUGCAUCUUUCCUAUUCUGUAAUCUUUGUAUUUGCUUUGGUAUGUUCGUGUAAAACUGUUGUUUU